AUACCGCAUAACAGUUUAUGCCGCAUGGCAUAAGAGUGAAAGGCGCUUUCGGGUGUCGCUGAUGGAUGGACCCGCGGUGCAUUAGCUAGUUGGUGAGGUAACGGCUCACCAAGGCCACGAUGCAUAGCCGACCUGAGAGGGUGAUCGGCCACACUGGGACUGAGACACGGCCCAGACUCCUACGGGAGGCAGCAGUAGGGAAUCUUCGGCAAUGGACGAAAGUCUGACCGAGCAACGCCGCGUGAGUGAAGAAGGUUUUCGGAUCGUAAAACUCUGUUGUUAGAGAAGAACAAGGACGUUAGUAACUGAACGUCCCCUGACGGUAUCUAACCAGAAAGCCACGGCUAACUACGUGCCAGCAGCCGCGGUAAUACGUAGGUGGCAAGCGUUGUCCGGAUUUAUUGGGCGUAAAGCGAGCGCAGGCGGUUUCUUAAGUCUGAUGUGAAAGCCCCCGGCUCAACCGGGGAGGGUCAUUGGAAACUGGGAGACUUGAGUGCAGAAGAGGAGAGUGGAAUUCCAUGUGUAGCGGUGAAAUGCGUAGAUAUAUGGAGGAACACCAGUGGCGAAGGCGGCUCUCUGGUCUGUAACUGACGCUGAGGCUCGAAAGCGUGGGGAGCAAACAGGAAUUAGAUACCCUGGGUAGUCCACGCCGUAAAACAAUGAGUGCUAAGUGUUUGAAGGGUUUCCGCCCCUUCAGUGCUGCAGCAAACCCAAUUAAGCACUCCCCCCUGGGGGAAUACCAACCCCCAAGGGUUGAAAACUCAAAGGAAAUUGACCGGGGGCCCCCGCCCAAAACCGGGGGGAACCUUGGGGGUUUAAAUUUCAAAACCAACCCCAAAAAAAACCUUUACCCAGGUUUUUUUGAAAUUCCUUUUUUCCCCACCUUUUUAAAAAAUAGAGAACUUUUUCCCCUUUCUGGGGGAAAAAAAAAGUUGAAACAGGGGGGGGGGGGCACAGGGGGUUUUUUUCCCCCCCUCACCCCCCCCUGGUUUUCCCUGGGAGAAAAAUUUUUGUUUGUGGGGGUUUUUAAAAAACCCCCCCCCCCCCCAAAAACCAGAGGCACCCCCCCACCCCCCCCCCCUCUUUUUUUUAUUUUUUUUUUUUUUUUGUUUUUUUUCCCCCCCCCCUCCUCUCUUUUCUUUUUAUUUUUUAUUUUUAUUUGUUUGUGUGGUGUUGGGCGCCCC
rnacentral:rRNA from 1 species